UAGGGAAUCUUCCGCAAUGGGCGAAAGCCUGACGGAGCAACGCCGCGUGAGUGAUGAAGGUCUUCGGAUCGUAAAACUCUGUUAUUAGGGAAGAACAAAUGUGUAAGUAACUAUGCACGUCUUGACGGUACCUAAUCAGAAAGCCACGGCUAACUACGUGCCAGCAGCCGCGGUAAUACGUAGGUGGCAAGCGUUAUCCGGAAUUAUUGGGCGUAAAGCGCGCGUAGGCGGUUUUUUAAGUCUGAUGUGAAAGCCCACGGCUCAACCGUGGAGGGUCAUUGGAAACUGGAGAACUUGAGUGCAGAAGAGGAAAGUGGAAUUCCAUGUGUAGCGGUGAAAUGCGCAGAGAUAUGUAGGGACACCAGUGGCGAAGGCGACUUUCUGGUCUGUAACUGACGCUGAUGUGCGAAAGCGUGGGGAUCAAACAGG
rnacentral:rRNA from 1 species